rfam:Sodalis glossinidius str. 'morsitans' DNA, complete genome.
AGGUAUUUGAGUAUAUGGGGUCGAAUCGCUUACAUUCAACGGCAGCCGGUGAUGAAAAAAAACGGGGGAUAAAAUCCCCCGCCUGGACGCUGU